GAAACUGGGCUCAAGGUGAGGGGUGCUAUCUGUGAUUGAGGGACAUGGUUAAUGGAAUUGUCUCACACAGAAAUCGCACCCGUCACCUUGGCCUGCUUA
ensembl:miRNA MIR342 microRNA 342